rnacentral:misc_RNA from 1 species
GUACCAUUCCACCCAAGUUUCUCUGAAGAUAUCCCAUUGAAGCAAGAACAGAAGAUGAGACUGGAAGAGGUAUGUGACUUGAAGCCAAAUUCAGUGGAAGAUGAACCUGUCCAUUCAAACCAAGACCUGUGGAAGAUGCCAUCAUGUUAACAAAAUCUUGCUCCUCCUGAUGCAUCCCCUGUGCCCCAAUGACAGAAGCAAAUUCUUCACCAGUAGCACAUUGGACUGAAUCUACAUGGUAACUAUUUGAGGCAUUGUUAG